GGGGACAAAACGGAUGGGGUUUUAGAUUUAUAGCCGACAGAUAUCCUUAUCCUUAUCUCCUUGCAUAUACAUAAACUUUUCGUUCCUACAGCGGAGCUACUUUCAAGCGCAACUCUGCUUAAAUGGGUUGUACUUGCUAGUGAUUCUCUCUGCUUAAAGCUCUUGUACCUUGAAGUGAACAUUCCUUCUUUUUUUUUUCUUUUGUCUAUUGUCAUCAUCUAUCCAUCUAUGCUCCUACUCCAGGUUCUACUCUAAACGAUAAUAAAGGAUCCCAUUCUAACCUAUAUUAGAGGAAUGAUCCAACAGGACCACGAAAACUGAACCACCAUCAGACCAUAAAGGUGUAUAAUGCGCUCUAUGAAUCUUAAAGAUGCCACAUUAAACGACAACUUUUGCUAGGAGAUAAGGUAAUCUCCUAACCCCACAAGAUAUGUAGUGACUAAGGAUUUAUUUGCAAGCAAGUUUUUUACCAAGUUUAUUUGUUACAAAUUUUUAACAAUUUUAGCUACAAUAACCUCAUUGUCGCGCCCCAUUUUUUCGCACAAUGAAAAUAAGAGGGUGUUUACAAAAGAUGGCAUUUUUUUAUUUAAAAACAAGUGAACAAAGGACCUAGAAUGAGACUUUAAAAAAUGCGACAAUUUGGGUAUAAAAUUUAAUUUAAAAGAGUUUUUAAAAAAAAUAGGAGUCGCCACUUAGUAUUGAAUUUGAAUAUACCAAGUCACCCCAAAAAGUAUUUUUUGACAAAAAUAAAAUAAAACAAAUCUAAUUAUCCUAUCUAUUACAUUUUUGAGGUAUUUAAAUGCCUCACAAAUAAUUAUAACAAUUAACUAAACAAAUAUAAGAAAAUUUGAAUGAGCAUUUAAAUCAAAUAAACAAAGCAUAUAAAAAUAUAUAAAUACAUAGGAACACGUAGGAGCACAUAAGAGCAUGUAAUUGACAUUGAAAUAAUAAUAAUAGGUGUACCUCCCUUUUGAAGUGGUGACUAAAUGGAAUCAAAUUGCCUUAUUUAUACUCAAAAUAAACAGAAGAAUCAUGGCACCAAUUUAAUUGAAAAUAAUAAUAAUAAUAAUAAUAAUAAUAAUAAUAAAUACUAAAUUCACCUUAACAUGUCAAAAUAAAGAAAGUCAAGAACAUCUAAAAAUUACAAGUUAAAUAUACUCAAAAGUAACAUAAUUAGCUAUUAAAGAAAAGAAACAAUUAUUAUAAAGAGAGUCAAAAUUCACCAGGGACUAAUUGCACAAACUAAAACACUUUUGGGGUCAAAAAUAUAAUUUUUCCAAAGUUUAGGGGCCAAAAUUAAAUGAAAGAUAAAGUAUAGGGAGCAAAGUGCAAUUAACUUAAGGACCUAGGUGAAAGGGAUUUAAAAUAUUCUGGGCCUCAGCAAAACUACCCCAAAGAUGAGGGGCUAAAGUGAAAAUUUCGGUUUCUGAUAUUCUUAAGAAAAUGGGCCACUAGGCCAUUCUCCAUUUCUUCUUUGGGCCACGGCCAUCCGGCCCAAGAGAAAGUCCAGGUUAAAAUACACAGGCCAGCCCCUUUUUUAUCACUCAAACCCAACCAAAAAUGAAUGGACUCUGACCUUCUAGCCCAACCUAAACCCAAGAGACAUAAAUCGAAACCCAACCAAAAUAACCACAAGCCCACUAAAGAAUUAGCCCAAUUCUUUUCCCUUUUUUUUUCUUCUUUUCUUUUCUUUCCUUUCUUUUCUUUCUUCCCCAUUCGUUUCUUCUUCUCUUCCUCUUCUGGCCAUCCGAAGCUCACUUCAGUUGGCGGCCAUGGUGGCUGCCAGCCCGCCACCGCCAUCACAAUUUUCACCAAAAUACACACCCCACUCGAUUUUUCGCGUAGGUUCCAUUUCCGGAGUUAGUUUUUACGAAAAAUGACCCGAAAGUGUCCAAAAAAAGCAAAAGACAGACCAGUUUUUAUUUUUUUCAAAUCACCAUAUCUUUCACUAAAAAUUAUAAAAAAAUAUACUACAACACUCCUUGUGAUUUUUACAACCUAACUAUGAACUGAAAUCAAUAAAAGCAACAACAAAUACGACAAAAUUAAAAUAAAACAGUCCAAAAUGAAGAAAAAUUAUUCACAUGCUUCUAAAGUUCAAACUCCCAAAAUUUUUUAAUAAUCACACAUUUUCGGACCUACACUAGCAAACGAUCACCUAUUUUUGACAAAAAAAAUGCACAAUGUUCAGCUUUUAAUCGUUUUCCAUUUUGGCAUUUUAUCAAACAUAUAGCAUGCAUAAACAAAAAUAAUCUUUCUUCUCCUCGAUCUAAUCUUGGACUUGCCCAACAACAUCACAACAACAAAACCAACAAAAGAACGGGACAAAGCAGCACUUAAACAUGCUUUUAAUAUAACUAACUAAAAAAAAGAAAGAGAAAAGAAAGAAACAAAAAAUCGAAAAAAAGAAAGGAAAACUACCUCAACUAGAAUUACGGUCCUUUGGCUAGAGUUUGGAGGAAAUUCCAAGCUUCAGUUGUCCAACCGAUAGCUGCCUCCCUUUUUGUGUUUGAUUUUGUGGAAGAAAAAUGGGUAGAGGGAGCCGAGAGGUCCAAAAGAAAAUUUCAGUGGAGUUUUUUUUUUUUUUUUUGGUUUUUGUUCUUGUCUGUUAAGAGCUAGCCGAGAGAGGGAGGGAAAAGAUUUUUUUCUUUUGUGGCUUGUCUAUUGGCGGGCAAAGAAAAGAGCCGAAAAUGAGAGGAAUUCUUCUUUGAGAGAAAAGUUGCUGCUAAUUUUUGUCUUCGGAAGAAGCCCAGAGAACCCAGAGGGACUUGGGAGGAUGAGGAGUGCUUUUUUUUCUUAGUUGUCUUGUGUGUGUGAGAGCCGAGAGAUUGUAUUGAGAGAAAAGAUGGGGAGUUGGUUUGUUUUCUUGUCAAAAAAUGAUUGUCUUCCCACCUAAUCAAAAGAAAGAAGCAUGGAAAUCGAGUGUGAAAUGGGUUAAGUGUAUUUGGCGGAAAAAAAUGAUUAGGAUGAUUUCUUGAUUUCCUCUUUUUUUUUUUUUGUUGCUAUUUUGCUUUGUUUUGUUGUUUUUUUAGUUUUUGUUUUCCUUUUUUGUGUUUUUUUUUUCUUUCCCUAAAACAAACCUGCAAAAUGAGAAAAACACACGUUAAAAUGUAAGAAAAUAAAUAACUCAUUAAAUAAAAAAAAUUCAAGAAAUAUUAAAAAUUGAUAAAAAUUUGGUAUUUAUACUCAUAAAAUUUAUCAAAAUUUUUAAAUUAUAUACUCCAAAAUAUCUAAAAAUUUACACAUUUUAAAAAAAAUUUUUACAAUAUCUACAAUAAGUUACAGUAAAAUUUUAGACAAACACUCGAAAAACUCAUUUACCAAACGAGACCUAAUCCUUUCAAUGGUGGUUGGUUUGAAGUGGACAUUCGAUUGGAGUGACUGGACCGAAUUUGGAUUGUGUUUAUCGCUGCCGCCGCUUGUGGGGCCCGCCUUCUUAUAAUAAGAAGCUCAGGCGGAUGGGGCUUCAGGGUUUUAGAUUUAUAGCCGACGUCCUUUAAAAUAAAUAAAUAAAAGAUUUAUAGCCGACAGAGACAGAAUGGAACGUCAUAGGGAGCGCUGGUGCUGGUUGGGUGCUUUAUAGUUUUGGUUAAUUGCAUUUACCUCCCCGGAGGUUUGGCCAAAUUUCAAGUUAGACCUUUAGGUUUAACCAAACUACGAAAAGCUCCCUGAAAUUCAAAACUUCAUAUUAAAAAAUGUGCCCUGCUAUUAGCAAACUAACGUUGACCUCCUAAGUUUGGCGAAUUUCUCGAAAUAAUAUUGAUAUAGGAAAAAAUCACAAAUAUAGUAUUUUGUGGGAUUUGUUUCCAAAAUAAGGGUCGUCGCACCUGAGAAAAUCGACGCACAAAAAUUUCUAAUUUAUUUUUGAAAUUUUUUUCAACGGUUUAAAAAUUUUUUAAGUUAAGAUUUUGGGCUAAAUAUUUUAAUUUAGUCGCAAAUCUAAUAUGAGGCAAAAGCUAUGUACCAUUGAUUAAAAUGUUGAUCAAACAAUCGUGAUUUGAAAAAAAAAAUUUAAUUCUAUUGCCCCAAACAAAAUUUGCGGCUAUUUGAAAUUUUUUUUGAGAAGCCACAGAUCCCAUGUGCGGCAAAGCUUUGGACAACAUGACUUGAUGGCAUUAUUUUUCUUCGCUGCAAAUUAUUUUUUUUAAAUAUAGCAGGUGAUCAACGGUCAUGAUUUGAUGGGCAAUUUUUUUUCCUUUGUCGCAAAUUUAAUUUGCGAUGAUAUAUUUUUUUAAAUGUCGCAGCUCUUGAUCAUUGAUCAUGGUGAUCAACGGUCAUGAUUUGAUGGGCAAUAUUUGUUUCUUAUUACUUGCAAGACAUAGAGGGGACUAGUCAUUUGGGGCAACCCCGCACUUACUUGUUUAUACUCCUGGCUGUAUAAAGCUUCGUACCCGAUCACAAACUGCACUGUUGACCUAUAUAUACUUCUACAGGUAUAAAUGGAACAACUUUGGGAUGUUUGAGCAUCCUUAUUUCAUUUGAAUGCAUAAUUAAUAUGACGUUCACAAUGCUUAUAUUUUUAACAGUUAUGAGCGUGGGAAAUGAUGCCCCAGGAUUCGCCUGACUAUGGUGGUUCCAGCUGCAUAGGGAAAUGAUUUUCCCAGAGGCGGCCGUUGGGCAAGUGACUGUACGAUAAAAUAUUAGGGUUUUAGUGUUAGGAUUUAGGAAUUAAUGUUUUAGGGUUAGGGUUAAUGGGCAAAAUCGUUGUGAUUUCAUUUUUUAAAUAAAAAAAUUUAAAGCUUCGUCACACAUUUGAGGUGCAGCGAACCCUUUAACAAAAAUAAUUUUGCUUUGGCACACCUUUUUAAAAUAAAUAUAUAUAUAUAUCGCUUCAUUUACUUUCUAGGGAGGAAAAAAAAUGAAAUUUAAAUCAAUUUUUUUUUUUCUGAUAACCUCCUUUACCAUUUGUAACGACCCUUAAAUUAGAACUCAAUCCCAAACUACCCCACUUUUGUGAUAUUUUCUGCUUUUAACAUUAUUCUUAGAAAUUCGCCCCUAAAUUUGAACAAUCUCAACACAAAGUUAUGACAGAUUCCCCAAAAUGCCCAUCAAAGCUCUUCCUCGUCUUCUUCCCCUUUCCCUGCUCCCUAGCAAACAACACCAAUACCACGAGGUUCACGACUAAUAGCAAAGAUUUCAGCACUAUUUUUUUUUGUGGGGGGGGGGGGGGGCAAAGAAGCACAAAAGCUGCAAGUAUUGGUUUUAAGCUUCAAAGUUUUAAUCUUUCAUGGAACUUAAGAUAACGAAAACACUAAUAAUUAACCCCACAAAACAAGUUGAAUGUACAUGAGCUUUUAUUCUAAUGUUUAGGUGAUAAUUUUAAUGAAAUUCUACCAAAUUUGGAUAGAGUUUUGAACAAAUAAAAAGUAGGGGAAAAAACCGAGUGGAAAGAAAGAAAAGCCAUUGAAAAAGAUGAUGACCAGUCACUUUGUUAGCUUUUUUCAAAUUUUUUUUAUCAUUUUCUUUCACGUUUUUCCUUUUCAUUUUCUUGGUAUUAAAUAGUUUGUUUAUAGUCCUGUUUUCUUUCUCCAAUGCUUGUUUCAAGACGUUCAAUUUUCCAUUGGUUUUAACAUUUAUUUUUUGUUUUUAUUUUUCUCAAUUAGUUUUACUCCAUUUAUCUUUCUUACUAAUUUUGGAGUUUUGUCUCAUUCCUUUACUUAAUUUUCAUUUUUUGUUCUAUAAAUGCUCUUUUAUUGAGUUUUUCAUUUUAUUUGUGGAAUCUUCUGAACUAUGCCUUUUUGUCAUUUCUCAAUACACACUAACGGAGUUAAACAACAGUCAAUGACAAAGGGGUGAUUGUAAUUUGGCUAAAUCAUAAGGCUUGUUACGUAAUAUGGACAAACCUCUGGGGAGGUAGAUGUAAUAGGCAGCAAAACACAAUAAAUUAAUUUUUUUCCCCCAAACUGGAUGACACACAAAAAUGCCAGUAUUAGUAUCACGUCGCAUUAUAAAUAUCACUUACUUUCCCUUAUUUUAAAACUUUUGUAACAUUGUUUAUUAACCCAACUCAGAAUAUUAAUACUGAAAAACUAUUUUUGUUUGGAAGUGUAUAGAUAAUUUUUGUUUCAAAAUUGCCCUUUUGUUGUGUUAAUGCUCAUGGCAAAUCAAUUUAAAAUCCUCAACAUUUGAAAAUUUACCUAUUUACUUCCUUAGUGGAAAAUUAUAAGUUUUUAUUGAGGUUAGGAGAUUGUUUAACGAACUUUUAUUUUAUAAUUUGGACAAGAUAAAUUAAAAUUUUUGCAACUUAUGAAUAAUUUACAAAACACGUAAAAAUCAUUCAUUAAUUUUUUUUGGGCACAUCUUGAGAGCAUUUUCAUACAUACUGUUUUAGUCAGGCGACUUUCUCGAAAUAAUGCGAAAAAGAGAAAAUAUCACAAAAGUGAUGCUGAGCUCGCUUCUAUAUUAAAGGUUGCUGCAAAUGUCAGACAAGGCUUCACAGAAAAUUUGAUUAAAAUUUUUUUUUUAAAAGUCAGAACCAAUUUUUUUUUUUUUUCAUUUUCACAAAAAGUUUCGCCACAAAUGGAGAAUGAGGCCGAGAAAAAAAAUAUUUUUUUUUGGAAAAAAUAUUUUUUAAAUUUUUUUUUUGGAGAAACCGCAAAUUGCAUUUGCGGCAAAGGAGAAGCCAAGACGUGGGGCACGGACGGUUGCAGGUGCAACCGUCCCUGCCAAUUGUAGUCAUUAUCAACUGGCCGUAACUCUCUUUGUACAUGGUGUAACUUUUUUCUCACAGGAUGUAUUUUCACAACAGAUAGUGACGGGUCCCACACAUGAUGCGGAAAUCGAGUUACGUCUUGUUAUCUCCCUGCCCCAUUUCCGAGAAGCCACCAUUUGUGUCCAUUUGUCUUAUCAGCAGUUGUAGUUUUCCCAUGCUCUGGUUGCAUUCGACAUGAAAAUAAUUAUAUAAAUAUUCAUGUAUUACUUCCCAUGAUGCUGUUCAUGACAUGUUAAAUUUAAGCAGAAGCGUCUGAGUCCUCUGCUAGUUGGAAUUAUUACUUUUUUGCUGGAAUUGAUCAUUUUGUACGAGAUAAAGUGGUGGCAUCUAGCCUUAUAAUAGAGGAUUUUGCAGCUGAUGUUCUUUCGUUACACCAUAAUUGCUGACCUCAUACAGUUGCAAAACCUAUGUAAAAUGUAUCUCGAUCCCUGCGUAGUGUGCUCAUCUUGGAUUGAUGGUAAUAUAAAAAAAAAAAAAAAAGGCUUUUGGGAUAUUACAAUCCUUGAAUUAAAGAAUGCGGAGGAUAGUUAGCUUAUUCGACCGUCAAGAUAUUGGCCUAUCUAACUCUUGUAUUGUCCCUUUCGAGAUGUCUGUUGAGUAUUUAGCUAAGCAGAUGCGGGAUAGAAAACAUGAAGGUAAGUGUCGCAGAGGGGCAUAUCCAUACAUGUUGUUCAUGUACUCGACAUAUUUAAUUUUCAAUAUGUCUUGCUGGCAUUAAAACCAAAAAAUUCAAAAAUGGAUGAUUUGGGCAUAUUUAAUCUUCAAUUCAUUUUAUAUUUUCAACCAAAAGGAAGCUGAAAGCAUUUGUAUAGGAUGAUUAAUCACCAUUUAUGAAAUUAACACAAUUUUUGUAGUUAAAUUAAAGGGAUAAUUUCACAAACCUCCCCUGAGGUAUUUAAUAAUUACAGGGAGCUCUCCUCAAAUUUUAAAAAUUACAUGUACCUCCCCGACUUUUACUGUUUAUAUAACAAUAUAGGUCCAACAAGGAAGAUUUUCUCUUAAAAAUCCUAAAUUACCCUUUUGUACAAAACUAAGAAAGCAAAAUAUAAUAUGUUUAAUCAUUUUCUUCCAUAUUUUGCACAAAUCAACAAGCCUAAUUCCUAACAACCAUCCAAGUAUAAGUUUCAAAUCCAAAUAACCAUAAAAAAGAUUCUAAGUUGCAUAUAUAACAUCAACUUACUACGUAAAAAAAAAAACACUCAUACACACACACACACACCUCCCAUUAUCUCAAUGCUCAAAUACAUUUUCAAUACAAGCUAAUAUGAUCUAGAACCACCAUUACAACCUUCUUAUGGUCUUAAAAAUAUUAAUAUUGUAAAAGUAAAGAAUAAAUUCUACCUCGACAAUAAAAUCAUAACAAAAAUUUCCAAUCCAAUGAAAGAAAUCCUUAUGUAAUUAUUAAUAUUUUAUAAAAGUUUUUUAUGACAACAAACAAACUAUGACAAAUUUCACAUCUCUAGUUCUUCUUCCUAUUUCAAUCAUAAAUUUCAUUAUUUAUUUCUCUAUCAUUGCAAAAAUAGACAAGACAGAAAUUUUUUUUUUUUUGGAUUUUGUAAAUCUAGUGCCUUAAAUUUAGAAUUGUCUAGCAAGUGGAGGGUAGUAUAGGCAUUUUAUUACGUCAAGGAAGUUAAGUGUAAUUUCUUAAACUUAAGGGGAGCCGAGUGAAAUUGUAAGAAACCUCAAGGGAGGUUUCUGAAAUUAUUCCUAAAUUAAAUUUGCAGCUUUUAGGGUUAGGAUUUAUGUAUUAGGGUUUUAUUGUGAGCGUUUAGGGAUUAUUGUUUUAGGGUUGGGGUUUGCAGGCAAAAUUAUCGCAAUUCCAUAUUAAAAAAAAAAAGAUUUGCCACCCAUUUGAGGUGCGGCAAAUCCUUUAAAAAAAAUUAUUUGAUUCACCGCCCUUUUGAGGUAUGGCAAAACCUUGUAAAGUAUAUUUUAAAAAAAUCCAGUCCUUUUACUUCCUUGGCGACGAAAAAAAUGAAAUUGAAAUCAAUUUUUUUUGAAACCUACUUUUCCAUUUGCAGCGAACCUUAAAAUCAAAAUCAAUCAUACUUUUGUGAUAUUUUCUUAUUUUAAAAUUAUUCUAAGAAAUUCGCCGGCAUGAGCCGGAUCAAUAGCUUUUAGUCCAGGACACUCAAGAAGUGAAAGACCUGCCAGAAAACAAAAGUUUCCGAGACUAAAUCACCAGAAAAUGAACCAUAAAAAAGAAAGAGAGAUAGAUCAGCUAAUACUGCCAAUAGGAGAAAAUUGGUACUAACGCUUAGCUGUAAGAUGUGGGCGCCAAGCCAUUAGAUGUGCGGUCAUUAGCCAAACAGUAAGGUACGAACGGCCGCGAUCUUUUGCCACACAUUACAUGUGCGGCUUCUGAAAAUAUUGUGGGACCAUCAUGGACCGUUUGCCUCAAAGUUUUUAUUUUUAUUUUUUUGGAAACGACAACGAUUGUAUAACCUAAUUUAUUCUAUACUAAAGGGGAGGAGGCGAACCUAAGGAGGCCUAAGGAUAAUUCGGAGGGGACUGAAUCACCACCGGAUCAAACAGGUGUACAACACACCGGCCUGAAUUUUUUUGAAGCAAACACUUAAAUGUGACAUUUUUGGUGGAAUCUCACCAAGUUAGGUGGUGGCCACCCGCCCAAAGGCUAGAGGUGCCUCAAAGUUUUUAGAAACAAAACUUUUUACCUUCGCCGCAACCCCGUUUGGAUUGCGAUUUUUCUCAGAAAAAUGUGUUCACGUUCUCAGAAAAAUUGUUAUGUUUUCCGUGAACACAUUUUUCUAUCACCUUUUUAACUUACAUCUAUCAAAUCACUAUAACAAUUUUUCUAUAAAAAAUCCAGAAAAACGCAAUCCAACCUGAAAUUUUUUUUAAAUUUUCAUCCUCCGCUGCAAAUUACUUUUGCAGCAAAUCAACAAAAUAAAUUGGUUCCAACUUAAAACAAAAAAUAAAGAAAUUUAAAUCAAAUUUUUUAUUAAACCUCAUAUGAUAUUUGCAGCAACCCUUGACCUGAAAGCCAACCUUCAACAGCAUCACUUUUGUGAUGUUUUCUUGUUUUCGCAUUAUUCUGAGAAAUUACCCCUAAGUUAAAAAUACAAUUUUAAACACUUUUUUUUUUAAAUUUCAAGCCAUCCAUGUGGAUAAAAAUGAAAAUGCUAAAUAAUUAUAUAAAAUUUCUUAAAUUCACUCAAAAACACUUACAUAAAAAGAAAGAUUUCUUUAUUUGGUAACCUAAAAGGCACCUAAUUAGCACAUCAAGAAAAUUAAGAUGGACCAACGUUAAAGUUUUAAACUCAUAAUUAGAGGUGUCAAAAUGGGUGACUUGGACGGGUUUGAGUUGGGUAAAAUGGAUAAUGGGUAUAAGACUAUAAGUGAGUCAACUCAUUUAUACCCAUUUAAUUAGAUGGGUAUAAAUGGGUAAGUUAAAAAAUGAAUUUGGUAAUCCAAUUACCCAUUUAUAACCUAUUUAUUUUAACUUUUUGUAAUCUAUGACUCAUAAUCAACCACCCUAAAUUACUAACACUUUAGCACAGGAAAUGUAUCCUUCCACCAAAAUAAUCCACCCCCUAUUACAGCAUCAAAUACAGAUUCAGGCUGAUACUUUCUAGCCCUAAAUCCAUCCUUUAGAAAAUCAACAAAAGAAUAACAGAAAAAUAUACAUCAAAUAUGUAUGUAUCAGUCGAAACUGUGUGAUACUGCAUAAUGUGAAAGAGGUAGGUGGUCAAUAUUAGUCAAAAAAUGAAUUCAACUUCGAGAAGAAAUUUCUUUGUUUAUGGAUUCUUGGUUAAAGAGCAGCAAAAGAUUAAAACUAUAAUUGAAUUGCAUCUGAGUUUGCUCGAGUCCAGGAAGCACUUCUUCCACAUCUUACCCAAGAAUGCUUAUCAGCCAUGCAUGCAACAAAUAUCUUCAAUAUCCACUCAAAGUUAAGCCCACCAAUAUUUUUCCAUUCAUAGUUUCUUUCUAGGUAGGCUCAAAGUGUACAGAGGUACAAACAACGAAGUUCAUUGCGGCUAAAACAUUCAGGUGAAUGGCUCAGCCGGCGCGGCUGUGCCUGAGGAGUUCAAAUUCUCCUUCAUGGUUCUUUUACAGCCAUUUCUUGAAACUUCCCACCCUUUCCAAACGGUAUUGCAGAAGGGACUAUGCAACUCCGGUAAUGCUAAAAAACCCACAAAAAUUGACGGGCAACUCGACCAUCUUUGGCUUAGAGUUGGGAAAGGGUGUCCAUAGACGUAAUCUUGAAUUAAGAAGCUUGGGUAAUCAAGGUAAAGUAAGUGAAGCCAGGAAGAUGUUCGAUGAAAUGCCGCAAAGAGAUGUCGUUUCUUAUGCUUCCAUGAUUACGAUUUAUCUUAAACAAAAUGAUCUUCCUAGAGCUGAAAGUUUGUAUAGUGCAAUGCCCGAGAGAAAUAUUGUAGCUGAUUCGGCAAUGGUGCACGCCUAUGCUAAGGUUGGUCAGCUGGAUCUUGCGCGGAAAAUAUUUGAUCGUAUGCCUUGUAGAAGUGUGUUUUCUUGGACUGGUUUGAUUUCUGGGUAUUUUAAACAUGGAAGGGUGGAUGAGGCUUGUGAACUCUUUCGACAAAUGCCUGAGAAAAACGUGGUUUCGUGGACUACAAUGUUGGUGGGUUUUGCUAGAAAUGGCUUGAUUGAUCAGGCGCAGGAAACUUUUGAUCAAAUGCCUGUCAAAAAUGUGGUUUCUUGGACAGCUAUGAUCAGGGCUUAUGUGGAGAGUGGUCAAGUUGAUCAGGCCUUUCAGCUUUUCUAUCAAAUGCCUGAACGUAAUCUCUAUUCCUGGAAUAUAAUGAUCCACGCCUGCUUGGAUUAUGACUUGGUGAAUGAGGCUGUGCGGCUGUUUAAUUCCAUGCCAUGGACGAAUGCAGUUUCUUGGACCACAAUGGUUACUGGUCUUGCACAGAAAGGAUUUAUUGAUUUGGCUCGGAAGUAUUUUGAUCAAAUGCCAAGCAAGGAUAUAAUUGCUUGGAAUGCUAUGGUAUCAGCCUAUGCUGAUCAUGGCAUCAUGUCUGAGGCUAGUAAGCUUUUCAGUUUGAUGCCAAAUCACAACGUGGUGACAUGGAAUGCCAUGAUUGAUGGGUAUGCCAAAAAUGGGCGUCAAGAUGAAGCUCUCAAGCACUUUGUUCUCAUGCUACGAAGCUCCAGUGGUGCUAACACAAUUACCCUCACUAGUGUAGUGAUUGCAUGUGAGGGAAUUGUUGAGCUGUUGCAAGCUCAUGGUCUUCUUGUCAAGCUAGGUCUUGAGCAAGCGACCUCAUUGACCAAUGCUCUUGUUACCAUGUACUCUAGGAGUGGAGAUCUUAGCUCAGCACGACUUGUCUUUGAGAAUCUUGAAGCGAAAGACAUUUUGUCAUGGACAGCGAUGAUUCUGGCGUACUCUAAUCAUGGUUAUGGUAACCAAGCAUUACAGAUAUUUGCUCAGAUGUUGCGAUCAGGCAAUAAACCAGACGAGGUUACGUUUGUGGGAGUCUUGACGGCCUGUAGUCAUGCAGGUCUUGUCAAGAAAGGCCAAAGGCUUUUUGACUCCAUGAGGUCUGCAUAUAAUAUCAUUCCCAAUAAAGAGCAUUACUGUUGUCUUGUUGACAUCCUUGGUCGAGCGGGGCUAGUCAAUGAGGCUGUCAAGGUGGUUUGCCAAAUGCCUCCAGGUGAAUGUGAUGUUGCUGUUUUAGGAGCACUACUUGGCUCGUGCAAGUUAUAUGGGGAGGUCGCCCUGGCAAAGCUUUUGGGUGAGAAAUUAUUAGAGCUGGAGCCAUCUAGUUCAGGAAGUUAUGUGCUUCUAUCUAACUUGUAUGCUGCUUGCGGUUUGUGGGACAAUUUUGCUCAUAUAAGAAAGAGGAUGAAGGAGAGUAGAGUGAAUAAAGUACCUGGUUUUAGUCAAGUAGAAGUAAAGGGUGAGAAUCAUGUGUUUUACGCAGGGGACAGAUCUCAUAAGGAAAUGGAGCAGAUUUAUGCUGCACUGAAGGAGAAGCUUCUACCGGUGAUGCAAGAUAAAUAUUGCAUGUACGAAGCUGUAGCAGUAUAGAUUGACAUGGAAUUACAUUUAGAGCUUGUGCUACGGUGUGGUGAUGCAAUUUUUGAUUGCUGGGAUAUGCUUUCCACUAAAUUGAUGCACAGUGCUGCAACAGGUGAAAUGUGAUAACUAACUAAAUUUGGUUUGUUUUGAGGUAUUACAUUUGUACACUUUGUAUCACACAGACACACAAACACACACAAAGGCAUGUACACCUAAGUGUACACGUAGAUACUCCUAUUUGCCUCUGACUAUAGCUGUGAACUAACUGAUCUUUUGCAUUAUCCUGAAGUACGCUACAAAAGCAUGUCUGAGAUACCACACUGAACCAGGAAGAUUAGGGGAAAGUAUGACCCCAACGUUAUUCUAUCUUUGAAUGUUGACGUUCUCUAGUUUGUAAUCCUUUCAUUUGUUCUGCUGACAAUAAAACAGAAAAUGAAGAAUUUCUUCCCAUAAAGCUUUGAAAUCCUAUUUUACUAAUUUGCGUCAAAAUUGAACGUGGACUAAACCUUGCAUAUAAGUCAAGAUGGGCUCAGUGGUGCAGCAUUAAUUUCUCAAUUGAGUUUUCACAUUCAGCUCAGUAGUAAGAUAGGACCUUUCAAUUUUCAAGAGUUUGUUUCCAGUGAGGAAUUGUAUCUAAACAUUUAUCAUAAUGUUGAUGAUUAACCAUGUCCAUUUGACUGUCUAAAAUAACUCAAAAGGUCAUAGAGUCUUUCCUAACUGUCUUUUGAUGUAUUGAUAUUCCCGAUUCCGUAGCUGAAUUGGUGGAAAUGCUGCUGAAAAGCACGGAGUUCCAAGGGUAUGCAUUUGACGGGGCCAAGGUGAAGAAGAGAGAAAAGGAGACCGGUAAUUUAGAGAAGAGAUGCUGCCUAUAUUUUGGACUUCCAAAUAGAUCAAGUUUCCUAUUGCUUAACUUUGUGCAGCUAAAUUGAGCCCUCGUGAAACAAAUCAAUAUCAGAUAGGCUUCCCAAUUGUUCCAGCAGAAAGAAAAGCUUAGGACUUUGCUUUGCAUAAGAGAUUCUCAAAGCUGAAGAUUCUUACUUAUCUAACCAAGACUAUCAAACAGGGUUCCAUAACAAAGCAAAAAUAGGAGGCCUGGCAAUGGUAAUGCAGGUAAUGCAAAUGGAAAAGUAAUGGCCGGGUAAUGCUGGCAUUUUAUGAAUUUUAUUCUAACUUGUUGAUCCUAAUAUUUCAUUUGUAAUAUCAGGUUUAUUUGAUGACUGAAAUGCCCUAUACUUGUACAGAUUUCUGCAGGCUUCCUAACAGGGAGAAAAGGGUCAAAAGGUUCUUUGAUCAAAACAAGGUCCAUACCUUUCCUAUGUUGGAAGUUACAGGUCCGAUUCAAACUCUCCUAGAUACCUUGUUGGUCUUCAUCAGAUAGAUGACACUUAAUUGGCAUCUAUCCUGAGAAGCUUCUUGCAUUCCAUGUUCACAAGUGUUACUUUCAAAUGAACUAACUAACUCAGUAGCUGCUUCUGUUGUUCUUUAUUGUGAGUAUUCCCCGGAUACCCGGUUCAUUGUUUCUUUUUUUGAGGCACAUUUUCUUUGUAAACAUGACAAUACAAAAGACUGAAAUAAGAGAAAGUCGAUAUAGCGCAGAUGGAUUUACCGAACAAUUUAAUACCAUUUAAGAGCAAGUUCAGUACAGAAUCAUUUUUCUGCUGGUGAUCCAGUUCUAAGAAAAAAUUUUGAUCUUGAGAAAAUACUUUAUUGUCUGUUUUGGUUCAUAAAGUAGCAUUUCUUUUUCAGUUAACUUUCAUCAGUCGACCAUUGACCAAUAAUGCUCAUUUGUAUUAUGCAAGACAAUACAAAUCAUAAUUUUAAACAGUACUUUUAUGGUCUGUAUUAGUACUCUAGCAAGUCCUUUUUUUUUUCCGCAAUUAGCUGUUAGUGGUGCCCCUAAUCAACCAGUAAAUGUUCAUUCGGAUAGAAUAACAUGAUAAAAAUCAGUACAUUAAGAUAAGGCAACGUUUUUGUUGAUAC
rnacentral:lncRNA from 1 species